rfam:Schistosoma curassoni strain Dakar, Senegal genome assembly, scaffold: SCTD_scaffold0001251
AGCCUUCUGUAUCCGUGCUGAGAUUUCGUCAGACACUAAACCACAAAGAGCUGAUGAGACUUCCAAGAUAAAUGAAGCG